UACGGAAGGGGCAAGCGUUGUUCGGAAUUAUUGGGCGUAAAGAGCUCGUAGGCGGCUUGUCGCGUCGUCCGUGAAAACUUGGGGCUCAACCCCAAGCUUGCGGUCGAUACGGGCAGGCUAGAGUUCGGUAGGGGAGACUGGAAUUCACGGUGUAGCAGUGAAAUGCGUAGAGAUCGUGAGGAAGACCCGUGGCGAAGGCGGAUCUCUGGACGGCUAACUGACGCUGAGGCGCGAAGGCCAGGGGAGCAAACGGG
rnacentral:rRNA from 1 species